rnacentral:rRNA from 1 species
UACGUAGGGUGCGAGCGUUAAUCGGAAUUACUGGGCGUAAAGCGUGCGCAGGCGGUUCGUUAAGUUCGAUGUGAAAGCCCCGGGCUCGACCUGGGAAUUGCAUUGGAAACUGGCGGGCUUGAGUGUGGCAGAGGGGGGUGGAAUUCCACGUGUAGCAGUGAAAUGCGUAGAUAUGCGGAGGAACACCGAUGGCGAAGGCAAUCCCCUGGGCCUGCACUGACGCUCAUGCACGAAAGCGUGGGGAGCGAACAGG